UACGUAGGGGGCAAGCGUUGUCCGGAAUCAUUGGGCGUAAAGAGCGUGUAGGCGGCCCGGUAAGUCCGCUGUGAAAGUCCAGGGCUCAACCCUGGGAUGCCGGUGGAUACUGUCGGGCUCGAGUCCGGAAGAGGAGUGCGGAAUUCCUGGUGUAGCGGUGGAAUGCGCAGAUAUCAGGAGGAACACCGGUGGCGAAGGCGGUCUCUGGGCGAUUGACCUGACGCUGGAGGAGCGAAAGCAUGGGGAGCGAACAGG
rnacentral:rRNA from 1 species